rnacentral:rRNA from 1 species
UCGAGAAUUUUUCUCAAUGGGGGAAACCCUGAAGGAGCGACGCCGCGUGGAGGAUGAAGGUCUUCGGAUUGUAAACUCCUGUCAUUGGUGAACAAGGUCUAUCGGGUAACUACCGAUGGGAUUGAUAGUAGCCGAAGAGGAAGAGACGGCUAACUCUGUGCCAGCAGCCGCGGUAAUACAGAGGUCUCAAGCGUUGUUCGGAUUCAUUGGGCGUAAAGGGUGCGUAGGCGGCGAGGCAAGUCUGGUGUGAAAUCCCGGGGCUCAACCCCGGAACUGCACUGGAUACUGCUUUGCUAGAGUACUGGAGAGGGAACUGGAAUUUACGGUGUAGCAGUGAAAUGCGUAGAUAUCGUAAGGAGACCAGCGGCGAAGGCGAGUUCCUGGACAGUUACUGACGCUGAGGCACGAAGGCCAGGGGAGCAAACGGGAUUAGAUACCCCGGUAGUCCUGGCAGUAAACGGUGUAGCGUUUGGUGUGGGAGGAUUCGACCCCUUCCGUGCCGGAGCUAACG